CAUUGCAACCUUUUUCACAGUUCCUUCCGGUCGCCAUUUUGUGAAUGAAGUAACGAGUUUGUUUUGCUCUUAUAAGAAUAAGUACAUUUUUUUUCUUUUCUGCCCUUCAUAAAUUGAAUCGGGUUUUUAUUGCACUGUCUUUGUGCGUAUUAAAGUUGUAACAGUAAAUAUGUCAGAAGAGCAAACUGGAGGAGAAAAUGCAGUACAGAAUGAGCAACAAACCGAUGAACAGGUGAUGAUGGCGGCAUCAGAAACAACAGCAACGGACUCUGAAGAUUCCAAAGUCGACCCUGGCAAAGCGGAGGAAGAUGAGGGUAGGAAAAUGUUUGUUGGUGGACUCAGCUGGGACACUACAAAGGCCGACCUGAAAGACUACUUCUCAAAGUUUGGUGAAGUAGUAGACUGCACCCUAAAGCUGGAUCCAAUCACAGGGCGAUCAAGAGGAUUUGGUUUCAUUUUGUUUAAACUGUCCGAAAGUGUAGACAAGGUGGUUGAACAGAAAGAACAUAAAUUAAAUGGUAAAGUUAUUGAUCCAAAAAGAGCUAAAGUUAUGAAAAAAGAACCUGUGAAAAAAAUAUUUGUUGGAGGACUCUCUCCAGACACACCAGAAGAGAAAAUACGCGAAUACUUCGGAGGCUUUGGUGAAGUGGAGUCCAUAGAACUGCCAAUGGACAACAAAACCAACAAGAGGAGAGGUUUCUGCUUUAUUACCUUCAAAGACGAAGAACCAGUAAAGAAGAUAAUGGAGAAGAAAUUCCACAAUGUUGGUCUUAGCAAGUGUGAAAUAAAACCAGCAAUGUCAAAAGAACAGUAUCAGCAGCAGCAACAGCAGUCCGUACGUGGGGGAUUUGCAGCAGGAAGGGCACGAGGAAGAGGAACAGUAGGCCCAACUCCAAGCUGGACCCAAGGAUACAACAGCUACUGGAACCCAGGUUAUGGCAGUUACGGAUACAACAGUCAAAACUAUGGAGGAUAUGGUAGUUUUGAUUAUACUGGUUAUAACAACUACUAUGGCUAUGGUGACUAUAGCAGUCAGGCUGCUGGUUAUGGAAAAAUACCAAGGCGUGGUACCCAUCAGAAUAGUUACAAGCCUUACUAAUAUUCCCCAUGCAGCCUAUUGUAAAUUGCGGGAACUUCAUUGCAGGCCCUGUGUCGCGCUGUCAUCACGAUUCUCACAGGCCCGCUCAAUGCGGACAGGGUACGAGAUGCUCACGCUCUCGAAUGCUGCCGUUUGGUUGAAGGAGCAGUAUUUUACUUCAAAUUUGAAGAUGAGUAUGAGGUGGUUUUUAGGCCACCACCCAGUAGAAGUAUAUAGAAGUGUAUAUAUAUUUUUUCUGUGUCAUACCACCUGUGAAUGGCAGUAAUAUGGUCCCUUUUGCAGCUGAUUUGAGUUAUUGUGACAAGAAACUGGUUUUAUUGUUUUAUCUUUUUAUUGAUGUACUCCUGACAGCUAUUUUUUUUAUACCCCAAGUAGCUCAAGUUUGAAAAGAUCUGUUAAAGCCUGUUGUGAUUUGUCGUAUGGUAGUGUCUUUUUUAUUUUAAAUAAAACAUUUUUUACAA